ensembl:lncRNA
GACGUAAUGAAUUACCAUGAGAGGGCGUGGCUUCACAAUGCCGUGAUGACACGCCCAAAGUGGGCGUGGUCUCAGAGCGGAAAGAGGGCGUACCUCAAACCCCAAAGUGGGCGUGGCUCCCACCUGCCAAACCCCCGCCCCUUCCAGGUGUGGGCGUGGCCUGGCGCCAGGUACGGGGUGGGCGUGGCGGGUCGCGGUCACGUGACGCGGGGCGGGGCCUCGGGAGCGGCCCCGGAAGCGGGGAAGGGACGGGACAGGUUCAUAUUUGGGGUCCCCCCAUGGCCGCUGCCCCCGCCCUGGCCCUGGCCCUGCCCUGCCUCGCCCUGGCCCAGACCCGCGGGGGUGGUCGCUCUCUCGGUGAUUUUCGGGGGUCUGGGGGCGCUGGCGCUGCUGGGGCUGCUGCUGCUGGCGGCGCUGCGCCUGCGCGAGAAGCGCCGCACCGAGGGCUCCUACCGGCCCAGCCGCGAGGAGAUGGGGGGGGGCGCCAGGGCAGCCCCCCCGGGCCCCGCCCCGCUGCGCCUGCCCCCCGAGGAGCGCCUCAUCUGAGACCCCGCCCCGAAUUCUGACCCCGCCCCGAAUUCGGGGCUGCUUUGGACCAUGGGAGUCGUUUUGGGGGGUUUUGGGGAGGGUCCCAAAGGGGUGAGACCCCCCCUGUGUGACCCCCCCUGUGUGAUCCCCCCUGUGUGACCCUCCCCGGCCCCAUUUGAGACCCCCCCCCGAAUUUGGGGUUCGUUUGGGCCAUGGGGUAUUUUGGGGGAUUUCGGGAGGGUCCCAAGGGGUGAGACCCCCGUGGCCCCCCCCAGAAGCGCCUCAUCUGAGACCCCGCCCCGAAUUUGGGACCCCUCCCCGAAUUCGGGGUUCGUUUGGACCAUGGGAGUCGUUUUGGGGGGUUUUGGGGAGGGUCCCAAAGGGGUGAGACCCCCGUUGUGUGACCCCCCCUGUGUGAUCCCCCCAUCCCCCGAGGAGCGCCUCAUUUGAGACCCCUCCCCGAAUUUGGGGUUCGUUUGGGCCAUGGGAGUCGUUUUGGGGGGGUUUGGGGAGGGUCCCAAAGGGGUGAGACCCCCCUGUGUGACCCCCCCAUCCCCCCAGAAGCGCCUCAUCUGAGACCCCGCCCCGAAUUUGGGACCCUCCCCGAAUUCGGGGUUCCUUUGGGCCAUGGGAGUCAUUUUGGGGGGUUUUGGGGGGUCCCAAAGGGGUGAGACCCCCCCGUGUGACCCCCGUGUGACCCCUCCCCACGAGGAGCGCCUCAUCUGAGACCCCGCCCCGAAUUUGGGACCCCUCCCCGAAUUUGGGACCCCUCCCCGAAUUUGGGGUUCGUUUGGGCCAUGGGAGUCGUUUUGGGGGGGUUUUGGGGGUCCCAAAGGGGUGAGACCCCCCCCGGAUUGCUCUUUGGGGACCCCCCAUGAGGAGGGGAUGGUGUGGGACCCCUCCCCAAAUUCUGGAGUGGUUGUGACCCCCCCCACCCCAAAAUUUGGGGGUCAUUUGGAGCCCCCUCCCCAAAAUUUUGGGGUCACUUGGGGCCCCCAUUUGGACCAUGGGAAUAAUUUUGGGGGGGUCCAGGGGGGGUUUUAGGGAGUCCAGAAGGGUUGAGACCCCCCCCAGAUUUGAGGAGAAGCUCGUCUGGGACCCCUCCCCAAAUUUUGGAGUGGUUGUGACCCCCCCUCAAAAUUUUGGGGCUCAUUUGGGGCCCCCUCCCCAAAAUUUUGGGUCUCGUUUGGACCAUGGGAGUCAUUUUGGGGGGGGGUCCUGGGGGGUUUUGGAGGGGUCCAGGAGGUUUUAGCCCCCCCCCCAAUUUGAGGAGGGGCUCGUCAGGGACCCCUCCCCAAAUUUUGGAGCAGCUGUGACCCCCCACCCCAAAAUUUGGGGUCAUUUGGGACCACCCCCCAAAAAAAUCUGAGCUGGUUUGAGACCCCCC